rnacentral:rRNA from 1 species
GAUGAACGCUGGCGGCGUGCCUAAUACAUGCAAGUCGAGCGAACAGACGAGGAUCUUGCUCCUCUGACGUUAGCGGCGGACGGGUGAGUAACACGUGGAUAACCUACCUUUAAGACUGGGAUAACUUCGGGAAACCGGAGCUAAUACCGGAUAAUAUAUUGAACCGCAUGGUUCAAUAGUGAUAGACCGUUUUGCUGUCACUUAUAGAUGGAUCCGCGCCGCAUUAGCUAGUUGGUAAGGUAACGGCUUACCAAGGCAACGAUGCGUAGCCGACCUGAGAGGAUGAUCAGCCACACUAGAACUGAGACACGGUCCAGACUCCUACGGGAGGCAGCAGUCGGGAAUAUUCAACAAAGGGCGAAAGCCUGACGGAGCAACGCCGAGUGUGUGAUGAAGGUCUUCGGAUCGUAAAACACUGUUAGUAGGGAAGAAAAAAUGUGUGAGUAACUCUGCACGUCUUGACGGUACCGAGUCAGGAAGCCCCGGCUAACUACGUG